AAUUUUGGACAAUGGGGGAAACCCUGAUCCAGCCAUCCCGCGUGUAUGAUGAAGGCCUUCGGGUUGUAAAGAACUUUUGGAAGAGAAGAAAAGGUACCUCCUAAUACGAGGUACUGCUGACGGUAUCUGCAGAGUAAGCUCCGGCGAACGACGUGCCAGCAGCCGAGGUAAUACUGAGGGUGCAAGCGUUAGUCGGAAUUACUGGGCGUAAAGCGGGUGUAGGCGGUUCGGAAAGAAAGAUGUGAAAUCCCAGGGCUCAACCUUGGAACUGCAUUUUUAACUGCCGAGCUAGAGUAUGUCAGAGGGGGGUAGAAUUCCACGUGUAGCAGUGAAAUGCGUAGAUAUGUGGAGGAAUACCGAUGGCGAAGGCAGCCCCCUGGGAUAAUACUGACGCUCAGACACGAAAGCGUGGGGAGCAAACA
rnacentral:rRNA from 1 species